rnacentral:rRNA from 1 species
UACGUAGGUGGCAAGCGUUGUUCGGAAUUAUUGGGCGUAAAGGGCGCGUAGGCGGUCUUGUAAGUCAGCUGUGAAAGCCCGGGGCUCAACCCCGGAGGGUCGGCUGAUACUGCAGGACUGGAGUACGGAAGAGGUAGCUGGAAUUCCCGGUGUAGCGGUGAAAUGCGUAGAUAUCAGGAGGAACACCGAUUGCGAAGGCAGCUCGCUGGAACGUUACUGACGCUGAGACGCGAAAGCGUGGGGAGCAAACAGG